AACGAACGCUGGCGGCGUGCCUAACACAUGCAAGUCGAGCGAGACCUUCGGGUCUAGCGGCGGACGGGUUAGUAACGCGUGGGAACGUGCCCUUCUCUGCGGAAUAGCCACUGGAAACGGUGAGUAAUACCGCAUACGCCCUUCGGGGGAAAGAUUUAUCGGAGAAGGAUCGGCCCGCGUUAGAUUAGAUAGUUGGUGGGUAACGGCCUACCAAGUCUACGAUCUAUAGCUGGUUUUAGAGGAUGAUCAGCAACACUGGGACUGAGACACGGCCCAGACUCCUACGGGAGGCAGCAGUGGGGAAUCUUAGACAAUGGGCGCAAGCCUGAUCUAGCCAUGCCGCGUGUGUGAUGAAGGUCUUAGGAUCGUAAAGCACUUUCGCCAGGGAUGAUAAUGACAGUACCUGGUAAAGAAACCCCGGCUAACUCCGUG
rnacentral:rRNA from 1 species